rnacentral:misc_RNA from 1 species
AUCUCCCCAUCGAUCACACUGUACGCCACCGUCUUGUUAGCUUCGUCGGCAAUCUCAAUCUUUUCCUUGGCGGUCUUCACCAGUGGCAUUCCUUCGGCAUAUGUGACGAGACGAGUGGAGCCAACGGUCUUCCCGUCUCCUUCGACAAUCUCAAUGCUCUUGUACUGCUCAGGGAAGAUCUUUGGGAAAAGGGCGGUGGAGUCGGUGAUGGCGCCGAAGAAUUUGUCAGCAGUGGUCUUCACUUCAACCUCAAUUACCAACUUGGUUG